CUAUCUAUAUCUCUAUCUAUAUCUCUCUCUAUCUAUCUAUCUAUCUAUCUAUCUAUCUCUCUCUCUCUCUCUCUCUCUCUCUCUCUCUCUCUAUCUAUCUAUCUAUCUAUCUAUCUAUAUCUCUAUUUAUCUAUCUAUAUCUCUAUCUAUCUAUUUAUCUCUAUCUCUAGAUCUAUAUAUAUCUAUAUCUCUAUCUAUCUAUAUAUAUGUAUAUAUAUAUACAUCUAUUUAUCUAUAUAUAUAUCUCCAUCUAUCUAUCUAUAUCUUGAUCUAUAUAUCUAUAUCUCUAUAUCUAUAUCUCUCUCUAUCUAUAUAUCUAUAUAUAUAUCUCUAUAUCUAUAUCUAUCUCUCGAUCUAUAUAUCUAUAUCUCUCUCUCAAUCUAUAUCUAUAUACCUAGCUAUCUAUAUCUCUAUCUCUCGAUCUAUAUAUCUAUAUCUCUAUCUAUAUCUCUCGAUCUUUAUAUCUAUAUACCUAUCUAUCUAUCUAUCUAUCUAUCUAUCUAUCUAUCUAUCUAUAUCUCUAUCUCUAUAUCUAUAGCUCUCUCUCGAUCUAUAUAUCUAUAUAUAGAUAUAGAUAUAUCUAUAUAUCUAUAUCUCUCGAUCGAUCUAUAUAUCUAUAUCUCUCUCUCGAUCUAUAUAUCUAUAUCUCUAUCUCUCGAUCUAUAUAUCUAUAUCUCUCUCUCGAUCUAUAUAUCUAUAUCUAUAUACCUAUCUAUCUAUCUAUAUCUCUCGAUCUAUAUAUCUCUAUCACUAACUAUAUCUCUCUCGAUCUAUAUAUCUAUAUAUAUCUAUAUCUCUCUCUCGAUCUAUAUCUCUCUCUCGAUCUAUAUAUCUACAUCUCCAUCUCUCGAUCUAUAUAUCUAUCUCUAUAUCUCUAUCUAUAUCUCUCUCGACCUAUAUAUCUAUAUAUCUCUAUAUCUAUAUCUAUAUCUCUCUCUCGAUCUAUAUCUCUAUCUAUAUCUCUCUCGAUCUAUAUAUCUAUAUAUCUCUAUAUCUAUCUCUCGAUCUAUCUAUCUAUAUCUCUAUCUCUAUAUAUCUAUCUCUAUCUAUAUCUCUCUCGAUCUAUAUAUCUAUAUCCAUAUCUCUCUCUCGAUCUAA
rnacentral:lncRNA from 1 species